rnacentral:rRNA from 1 species
ACUGAACGCUGGCGGCAUGCUUUACACAUGCAAGUCGAACGGUAACAGGCCGCAAGGUGCUGACGAGUGGCGAACGGGUGAGUAAUGCAUCGGAACGUGCCCAGUCGUGGGGGAUAACGCAGCGAAAGCUGUGCUAAUACCGCAUACGAUCUGUGGAUGAAAGCGGGGGACCGUAAGGCCUCGCGCGAUUGGAGCGGCCGAUGUCAGAUUAGGUAGUUGGUGGGGUAAAGGCUCACCAAGCCAACGAUCUGUAGCUGGUCUGAGAGGGCGACCAGCCACACUGGGACUGAGACACGGCCCAGACUCCUACGGGAGGCAGCAGUGGGGAAUUUUGGACAAUGGGCGCAAGCCUGAUCCAGCAAUGCCGCGUGCAGGAAGAAGGCCUUCGGGUUGUAAACUGCUUUUGUACGGAACGAAACGGUCCUGGCUAAUACCCGGGGCUAAUGACGGUACCGUAAGAAUAAGCACCGGCUAACUACGUGCCAGCCGCCGCCGUAACAC